UACGUAGGGUGCAGGCGUUAAUCGGAAUUACUGGGCGUAAAGCGUGCGCAGGCGGUUUGCUAAGUCAGGCGUGAAAUCCCCGGGCUUAACCUGGGAACUGCGCUUGUAACUGGCAAGCUUGAGUGUGGCAGAGGGGGGUGGAAUUCCACGUGUAGCAGUGAAAUGCGUAGAGAUGUGGAGGAACACCGAUGGCGAAGGCAGCCCCCUGGGCUAACACUGACGCUCAUGCACGAAAGCGUGGGGAGCAAACAGG
rnacentral:rRNA from 1 species